rnacentral:ncRNA from 1 species
CAUAGGUUUGGUCCUGGCCUUUUUAUUAAUUUUUAGUAGACUUACACAUGCAAGCAUCCCCGCUCCAGUGAAAAUGCCCUCUAUCUCCAUAAGGAUCAAAAGGUGCCGGUAUUAAGUACGCUCUUCCGAGCAGCUCAUGAUACCUUGUUACACCACACCCCCACGGGACACAGCAGUGACUAAAAUUGAGAUAUAAACGAAAGUUUGACUGAGUCAUACUAAUAUUAGGGUUGGUAAAUUUCGUGCCAGCCACCGCGGUCAUACGAUUAACCCUAAUUAAUAAAACACGGCGUAAAGCGUGAUUAAGGUAGAGUCCUAAAUAAGAUUAAGCUCUAACUAAGCUGUAAAAAGCCCUAGUUAAAAUAAAAAUAUGAAACGAAAGUAAUCUUAUAAACCCUGAAUUCACGAUAGCUAAGGCCCAAACUGGGAUUAGAUACCCCACUAUGCUUAGCCCUAAACAUAAAUAAUCCAAUAACAAGAAUAUUCGCCAGAGAACUACUAGCUACUGCUUAAAACUCAAAGGACUUGGCGGUGCUUUAUAUCCCUCUAGAGGAGCCUGUUCUAUAAUCGAUAAACCCCGUUAAACCUCACCACUCUUUGCAUUGUCAGCCUAUAUACCGCCAUCUUCAGCAAACCCUAACAAGGCACUAUAGUAAGCACAAUUAUUGUACAUAAAAACGUUAGGUCAAGGUGUAGCCUAUAGAGUGGAAAGAAAUGGGCUACAUUUUCUAAUUUCCUAGAACACCUCACGGUAGCUAUCAUGAAACAUGCUAGCCCAAGGCGGAUUUAGUAGUAAGUUAGGAAUAGAGUGCCUAGCUGAAUCGGGCAAUAAAGCACGCACACACCGCCCGUCACCCUCUUCAAGCACCCAAGAUUACUAGACAUAACUAAUAAAUUAUGAUCCCAAAUGCAAGAAGAGACAAGUCGUAACAAGGUAAACAUACUGGAAAGUGUGUUUGGAAUAU